rnacentral:rRNA from 1 species
UGGGGAAUAUUGGACAAUGGAGGAAACUCUGAUCCAGCAAUUCUGUGUGUGUGAAGAAGGUUUUAGGACUGUAAAACACUUUUAGUAGGGAAGAAAAAAAUGACGGUACCUACAGAAGAAGCAACGGCUAAAUACGUGCCAGCAGCCGCGGUAAUACGUAUGUUGCGAGCGUUAUCCGGAAUUAUUGGGCUUAAAGGGCAUCUAGGCGGUAAGACAAGUUGAAGGUGAAAACCUGUGGCUCAACCAUAGGCUUGCCUACAAAACUGUUGAACUAGAGUACUGGAAAGGUGGGUGGAACUACACGAGUAGAGGUGAAAUUCGUAGAUAUGUGUAGGAAUGCCAAUGAUGAAGAUGACUCACUGGACAGAAACUAACGCUGAAGUGCGAAAACUAGGGGAGCAAACAGG